UACGUAGGGGGCAAGCGUUGUCCGGAUUUAUUGGGCGUAAAGCGCUCGCAGGCGGCUCGAUGCGUCGUGCGUGAAACACCCCGGCUCAACUGGGGAGGGUCGUGCGAUACGGUCGGGCUGGAGGCCAGUAGGGGGAUGCGGAAUUCCGGGUGUAGUGGUGGAAUGCGUAGAGAUCCGGAGGAACACCAGCGGCGAAGGCGGCAUCCUGGACUGGUCCUGACGCUCAGGAGCGAAAGCGUGGGGAGCGAGCCGG
rnacentral:rRNA from 1 species